AACGAACGCUGGCGGCAUGCCUAACACAUGCAAGUCGAACGAGACCUUCGGGUCUAGUGGCGCACGGGUGCGUAACACGUGGGAAUCUGCCCUCAGGUACGGAAUAACUCAGGGAAACUUGAGCUAAUACCGUAUGAUGGCCUUAUUGGAAACUUUGGGGCCCAAAGAUUUAUCGCCUGAGGAUGAGCCCGCGCAGGAUUAGCUUGUUGGUGAGGUAAAGGCUCACCAAGGCGACGAUCCUUAGCUGGUCUGAGAGGAUGAUCAGCCACACUGGGACUGAGACACGGCCCAGACUCCUACGGGAGGCAGCAGUGGGGAAUAUUGGACAAUGGGCGAAAGCCUGAUCCAGCAAUGCCGCGUGAGUGAAGAAGGCCUCGGUUGUAA
rnacentral:rRNA from 1 species